GGGUUGUGAGGUUAAGCGACUAAGCGUACACGGUGGAUGCCCUGGCAGUCAGAGGCGAUGAAGGACGUGCUAAUCUGCGAUAAGCGCCGGUAAGGUGAUAUGAACCGUUAUAACCGGCGAUUUCCGAAUGGGGAAACCCAGUGUGAUUCGUCACACUAUCAUUAACUGAAUCCAUAGGUUAAUGAGGCGAACCGGGGGAACUGAAACAUCUAAGUACCCCGAGGAAAAGAAAUCAACCGAGAUUCCCCCAGUAGCGGCGAGCGAACGGGGAGGAGCCCAGAGCCUGAAUCAGCAUGUGUGUUAGUGGAAGCGUCUGGAAAGGCGCGCGAUACAGGGUGACAGCCCCGUACACAAAAGCGCAUGUGCUGUGAGCUCGAUGAGUAGGGCGGGACACGUGGUAUCCUGUCUGAAUAUGGGGGGACCAUCCUCCAAGGCUAAAUACUCCUGACUGACCGAUAGUGAACCAGUACCGUGAGGGAAAGGCGAAAAGAACCCCGGCGAGGGGAGUGAAAAAGAACCUGAAACCGUGUACGUACAAGCAGUGGGAGCACCCUUUGGGGUGUGACUGCGUACCUUUUGUAUAAUGGGUCAGCGACUUAUAUUCUGUAGCAAGGUUAACCGUAUAGGGGAGCCGCAGGGAAACCGAGUCUUAACCGGGCGUUAAGUUGCAGGGUAUAGACCCGAAACCCGGUGAUCUAGCCAUGGGCAGGUUGAAGGUUGGGUAACACUAACUGGAGGACCGAACCGACUAAUGUUGAAAAAUUAGCGGAUGACCUGUGGCUGGGGGUGAAAGGCCAAUCAAACCGGGAGAUAGCUGGUUCUCCCCGAAAGCUAUUUAGGUAGCGCCUCGUGAA
rnacentral:rRNA from 1 species